rnacentral:misc_RNA from 2 species
AACGCACCUUGCGCUCCUUGGUAUUCCGAGGAGCGUGCCUGUUUGAGUGUCAUUAAAUUCUCAACCUUAUUAGCUUUUGUUGAUAAUGGAUUGGAUGUGGGGGUUUCUUUUGCUGGCCUCUUCACAGAGGUCAGCUCCCCUUAAAUGCAUUAGCUGGUGACCCGCGUGGACCAUCUAUUGGUGUGAUAAUUAUCUACGCCGUGGAUGUCUGCAAUCAUAUGGGUUUUGCACUGCUUCUAACCGUCUGUUCAUUCGGACAAUACAUGACAAUUUGACCUCAAAUCAGGUAGGACUACCCGCUGAACUUAA